rnacentral:rRNA from 1 species
CAGCCGCCACGGUAAUACGAAGGGUGCAAGCGUUACUCGGAAUUACUGGGCGUAAAGCGUGCGUAGGUGGUUGUUUAAGUCUGCUGUGAAAGCCCUGGGCUCAACCUGGGAAUUGCAGUGGAUACUGGGCAACUAGAGUAAGGUGGAGGAUAGUGGAAUUUCCGGUGUAGCAGUGAAAUGCGUAGAGAUCGGAAGGAACAUCUGUGGCGAAGGCGACUAUCUGGGCCAUUACUGACGCUGAGGCGCGAAAGCUAGGGGAGCAAACAGGAUUAGAUACCCGGGUAGUCCCUGUCUCUUAUAA